rnacentral:pre_miRNA from 1 species
AGUGGGAUAGCUGGGUCAAAUGGUGGUUCCAUUCCCAAUUUCUGAGAAAUCUCCAUAUUAUUUUCCAUAAUGGCUGCACCAAUUUGCAGUCAUACCAGCAAU